rnacentral:rRNA from 1 species
GAAGAACGCCUAGCUACAGGCUUAACACAUUGCAAGUUCGAGGGGCAGCAUUUUCAGUUUUGCUUUGCAAACUGGAGAUGGCGACCGGCGCACGGGUGAGUAACACGUAUCCAACCUGCCGAUAACUCGGGGAUAGCCUUUCGAAAGAAAGAUUAAUACCCGAUGGCAUAAUUAGACCGCAUGGUCUUAUUAUUAAAGAAUUUCGGUUAUCGAUGGGGAUGCGUUCCAUUAGGCAGUUGGUGAGGUAACGGCUCACCAAACCUUCGAUGGAUAGGGGUUCUGAGAGGAAGGUCCCCCACAUUGGAACUGAGACACGGUCCAAACUCCUACGGGAGGCAGCAGUGAGGAAUAUUGGUCAAUGGACGAGAGUCUGAACCAGCCAAGUAGCGUGAAGGAUGACUGCCCUAUGGGUUGUAAACUUCUUUUAUAUGGGAAUAAAGUUUUCCACGUGUGGAAUUUUGUAUGUACCAUAUGAAUAAGGAUCGGCUAACUCCGUGCCAGCAGCCGCGGUAAUACGGAGGAUCCGAGCGUUAUCCGGAUUUAUUGGGUUUAAAGGGAGCGUAGGUGGACAGUUAAGUCAGUUGUGAAAAGUUUGCGGCUCAACCGUAAAAUUGCAUUGAUACUGGCUGUCUUGAGUACAGUAGAGGUGGGCGGAAUUCGUGGUGUAGCGGUGAAAUGCUUAGAUAUCACGAAGAACUCCGAUUGCGAAGGCAGCUCACUGGACUGCAACUGACACUGAUGCUCGAAAGUGUGGGUAUCAAACAGGAUUAGAUACCCUGGUAGUCCACACAGUAAACGAUGAAUACUCGCUGUUUGCGAUAUACAGUAAGCGGCCAAGCGAAAGCAUUAAGUAUUCCACCUGGGGAGUACGCCGGCAACGGUGAAACUCAAAGGAAUUGACGGGGGCCCGCACAAGCGGAGGAACAUGUGGUUUAAUUCGAUGAUACGCGAGGAACCUUACCCGGGCUUAAAUUGCAAAUGAAUAAUCUGGAAACAGGUUAGCCGCAAGGCAUUUGUGAAGGUGCUGCAUGGUUGUCGUCAGCUCGUGCCGUGAGGUGUCGGCUUAAGUGCCAUAACGAGCGCAACCCUUAUCUUUAGUUACUAACAGGUCAUGCUGAGGACUCUAGAGAGACUGCCGUCGUAAGAUGUGAGGAAGGUGGGGAUGACGUCAAAUCAGCACGGCCCUUACGUCCGGGGCUACACACGUGUUACAAUGGGGGGUACAGAAGGCAGCUACCUGGUGACAGGAUGCUAAUCCCAAAAGCCUCUCUCAGUUCGGAAUCGAAGUCUGCAAACCCGACUUCGGAAAGCUGGAUUCGCUAGUAAUCGCGCAUUCAGCCAUGGCGCGGUAAAUACGUUCCCGGCCCA